rnacentral:tRNA from 1 species
UCCCUGGUUGCUCAGGUGGUAGAGAAUCUGCCUGCAGUGCAGGAGACCAGGGUCCAAACCCUGCUGGGAAG